rnacentral:lncRNA from 1 species
UAAAUAGUGAAAUCUUUUAACUUUUAGCCCCACAUAUUCCAUUUUUUUCUAAACUAAAAUUGCCACGUGUGUACGGCCCCUUUUUUAAAAUUAUUAUCUGGAAGCGUGAUGACUCAACAGUCAACAUAACGGCGCAACGCCGUUAAGUGCGGUUCUCGUUUGUCUUGUCGGGUUAUUAGGUGGCAAACGUUUACCAAUAAUGUAUAACGUUUGUUGGCAUCAACGUCAUCGUUGAACUCCCAUCAUCCUUAAUUUGG